AUGAACGCUGGCGGCGUGCCUAAUACAUGCAAGUCGAGCGAACGGACGAGAAGCUUGCUUCUCUGAUGUUAGCGGCGGACGGGUGAGUAACACGUGGAUAACCUACCUAUAAGACUGGGAUAACUUCGGGAAACCGGAGCUAAUACCGGAUAAUAUUUUGAACCGCAUGGUUCAAAAGUGAAAGACGGUCUUGCUGUCACUUAUAGAUGGAUCCGCGCUGCAUUAGCUAGUUGGUAAGGUAACGGCUUACCAAGGCAACGAUGCAUAGCCGACCUGAGAGGGUGAUCGGCCACACUGGAACUGAGACACGGUCCAGACUCCUACGGGAGGCAGCAGUAGGGAAUCUUCCGCAAUGGGCGAAAGCCUGACGGAGCAACGCCGCGUGAGUGAUGAAGGUCUUCGGAUCGUAAAACUCUGUUAUUAGGGAAGAACAUAUGUGUAAGUAACUGUGCACAUCUUGACGGUACCUAAUCAGAAAGCCACGGCUAACUACGUGCCAGCAGCCGCGGUAAUACGUAGGUGGCAAGCGUUAUCCGGAAUUAUUGGGCGUAAAGCGCGCGUAGGCGGUUUUUUAAGUCUGAUGUGAAAGCCCACGGCUCAACCGUGGAGGGUCAUUGGAAACUGGAAAACUUGAGUGCAGAAGAGGAAAGUGGAAUUCCAUGUGUAGCGGUGAAAUGCGCAGAGAUAUGGAGGAACACCAGUGGCGAAGGCGACUUUCUGGUCUGUAACUGACGCUGAUGUGCGAAAGCGUGGGGAUCAAACAGGAUUAGAUACCCUGGUAGUCCACGCCGUAAACGAUGAGUGCUAAGUGUUAGGGGGUUUCCGCCCCUUAGUGCUGCAGCUAACGCAUUAAGCACUCCGCCUGGGGAGUACGACCGCAAGGUUGAAACUCAAAGGAAUUGACGGGGACCCGCACAAGCGGUGGAGCAUGUGGUUUAAUUCGAAGCAACGCGAAGAACCUUACCAAAUCUUGACAUCCUUUGACAACUCUAGAGAUAGAGCCUUCCCCUUCGGGGGACAAAGUGACAGGUGGUGCAUGGUUGUCGUCAGCUCGUGUCGUGAGAUGUUGGGUUAAGUCCCGCAACGAGCGCAACCCUUAAGCUUAGUUGCCAUCAUUAAGUUGGGCACUCUAAGUUGACUGCCGGUGACAAACCGGAGGAAGGUGGGGAUGACGUCAAAUCAUCAUGCCCCUUAUGAUUUGGGCUACACACGUGCUACAAUGGACAAUACAAAGGGCAGCGAAACCGCGAGGUCAAGCAAAUCCCAUAAAGUUGUUCUCAGUUCGGAUUGUAGUCUGCAACUCGACUACAUGAAGCUGGAAUCGCUAGUAAUCGUAGAUCAGCAUGCUACGGUGAAUACGUUCCCGGGUCUUGUACACACCGCCCGUCACACCACGAGAGUUUGUAACACCCGAAGCCGGUGGAGUAACCUUUUAGGAGCUAGCCGUCGAAGGUGGGACAAAUGAUUGGGGUGAAGUCGUAACAAGGUAGCCGUAUCGGAAGGUGCGGCUGGAUCACCUCCUUU
rnacentral:rRNA from 1 species